AUGGGAGCAGUUUCGCUCAGUUGCUUUGCCGCCUGCCGCUCGGCACCUUAUCUCCUCCGUCUCGCGCCACUCCACGGCACCAUGCACUCGCCGGCGCGCUGCGCCGCCACCACCGCCACCGCGUCCCCGCCUCUGCGCGCGCCGUUCGUCGCCAUGGCCCAGCGCGGCCGCAGGCCGCCCUCGUCCGCGCCCCCCGAGGCCGAGCAGCCGGACGAGGCGCUCGCCCGCAUCCUCCGCAGGGAGGCCGCCGUCUCCGGCGUCCCCCGCAAGGCCGCCGCGGGCACCAGCCAGCACUCCACCCGCCUCUGGCCCCGCGCCGUCCUCGAGGCCCUCGACUCCGCCGUCGCCUCCUCCCGCUGGGAGUCCGCCCUCGAGAUCUUCGAGCUGCUGCGGAAGCAGCGGUGGUACGAGCCGAGGACGCAGACCUACGCCAGGCUGCUGAUGAUGCUCGGCAGGUGCCGGCAGCCCGGCCCAGCCACGGCCCUCUUCAAGGUGAUGCUCUCGGAGAAGCAGCUCGCGCCGACGGUGGACGUGUACACGGCGCUCGUUGGCGCCUACGGCUACAGCGGCCUGCUGGACGAGGCGAUGGCCACGGUCGGUCUGAUGAAAGGCGCUGAUACAGACUGCAAGCCGGACGAGUACACCUUCUCCGUCCUCAUCAACUGCUGUUGUAAGUCACGCCGCUUCGACCUGAUCCCCACCGUCCUCGACGAGAUGUCUUAUCUGGGGAUUGGAUGCAACGUUGUCAUCCACAAUGGGAUAAUUGAUGGAUACGGCAAGGCCGGCAUGCUAGAGGAGAUGGACGAUGCGCUGUCCAACAUGCUUCAAGACGGGGACAAUGUGCCGGACAUAUACACGAUGAACUCCAUCAUCUGGGCUUAUGGCAACCGUGGCAGGGUGGAUGACAUGGAGAAGUGGUACGAUGAGUUUCAGUUGAUGGGCGUUGAGCCAGAUACGCGGACGUUCAAUAUCAUGAUGAAGUCUUAUGGCAAGGCUAACAUGCCUGACAAAAUGUUGUCGAUCCUGAAAUACAUGAAGCGGCGUUUCUUCUCACCCUCUGCUGCUACAUUCAACAUAAUCAUAGAUUGUUUUGGAAGGGCUGGCAACAUUGAGAAGAUGGAGUACUAUUUCAGGCUGAUGAAAAUUCAGGGCGUCAAACCCAACCCCAUCACAUACUGCUCCCUGGUUAAUGGAUACAGUAAAGCUGGGCUCCUUGAUAUGGUUCCUGCAAUUAUUCGACAGACGGAGAACACCGAUGUCGUCUUAGAUACUCCUUUUUUCAACUGUGUUAUCAGUGCAUACGCCAAGUCUGGAGAUAUCGAAAUAAUGGAGGAAAUGCUAGUGCUAAUGAAGGAAAAGAAAUGUAAGCCAGACAAGGUAAUUUAUACCACCAUGAUUCAGGCAUAUAUGGCGCAUGGGAUGGAUGAAGCCGCUAAGUUGUUAGAAACAGAAAUGGAAAGAUUUAACAACAAAUUACUGGUAAGUGCUUUGCUAUACCUUAGGGAGCUUUUUUCUUUGUUUUUGAUUUAUGCCUGCAAUAAGCUACCAAUUAUCCAUGGUAUUCACUGGUUAUCUUUGUUUUUUGAACCAGGGACCAGUUCCUGUGGUUGA
rnacentral:rRNA from 1 species